rnacentral:rRNA from 1 species
UACGUAGGGUCCAAGCGUUGUCCGGAUUUACUGGGUUUAAAGGGCGCGUAGGCGGCUUUUUAAGUCUGCGAUGAAAUGCUGGGGCUUAACCUUUGGCGCCGUUGUAGAUACUGGAAGGCUAGAGAGAGUUGGAGGCGGCUGGAAUGAGUGGUGUAGCGGUGAAAUGCGUAGAGAUCACUCAGAACGCCGAUUGCGAAGGCAGGCCGCUACGGCUACUCUGACGCUGAGGCGCGAAGGCAUGGGGAUCAAACAGG